AUCCUGGGGCUCAACUCCAGAACUGCCAUUGAUACUGGCAAUCUUGAGUUCGGAAGAGGUGAGUGGAACUCCUAGUGUAGAGGUGGAAUUCGUAGAUAUUAGGAAGAACACCAGUGGCGAAGGCGGCUCACUGGUCCGGUACUGACGCUGAGGUGCGAAAGCGUGGGGAGCAAACAG
rnacentral:rRNA from 1 species